AUUUGAAAUUUAUUUCAUUAGCCUUGAAAGGUAAUGGCAUUAUUUGAAACUAAGCUGCACUAGUUCUGGUUUUACACAGUAAGCAGUUCUAUGAUUACCCAAUUUUAAGAACAAACAUGUUUAGUUUGGGAUGAGAUGGAAGGACAUGAUAUUUAGGUUUCUUCUUCUUCUUUUAUUUGAAGAAAUAACACUAUCUAAUGUUUAUUCCAUCCCAGUGACAGUGACAGAGCAGAAAUAUUAUGAGCCCUUUGAGGGGGAAAAUGAACUUAAGUCCAUCUUCCCGAAGCUUCUGCCACUCAUUUAGUCAUGUUGGUAGCAGGAGGUUUAGCAGAACAUUCAUCUUUUUCUUUCAUUUGUGUAUGAAACACACCUUCCAUCUUAUAUUCACUCCAUAAGACAUUAGCCAUAUUUUAGACAACCAAGCACUUUUAGAAAAAGUUAUAAAAGAGGGGAAAAAACAUGAGAUUUUGCCAGGAAAAAGACAGCUCAAAGUAUGGCAGAUUCUCCCCAACUCCCAAGUGAUGUUCCAUUCUGACUGAUCAAAGACCCAGCUGGUGAACAGAUUUAAAUAAUGAACAAAAUACAUGUGUUCCUUCUUUGAGUAAAUCAGCUCUAGUUACAGAAUGUAUUUGUGUACUUUUCCUUCUAGAAAUUUACUGGUAUUAAUAGGAUUCAUUAGAUUCAAUUAAUAAAUAAAGGAAGCUGGAUUGUAACCAUGGACACUAACGAUCAUUUUGGAAAAUGGAAAAUCAUUAAUUCACAUUGAUUCAAAGCAUUGCUGUAUUCUUCCAAUACAAGUUAUUUGCUUGCAUUGUGCAUAGGUUUAUAAUGAUUUCUGUUUUGUUGUUUAUUCAUUCAGUCUCUUCCAACUCUUUGUGACUACAUGGACCAGCCCACGCCAGACCUCCCUGUCACACGUGACCACCCCCAGCUCCUCCAAGGUCAAGCCAGUCACUUCAAGGAUACCAUCCACCCUUGGUGGAAAAGCAACAGGUGUGCGUGUGAUUCUGAACACAAACAUGGCCACAGAGAAACAGUAAGUAUGUUUACUAUCAGCACACUGCUGCAAUCAAAUCUUUAAUUUUUUCAGGAUGCAUGUGAAAUUUUUGGAAGGUAGCCAUGCCAAUACAGAUUAGCCCUGGUAAUACAUAAUUUAGCUCUGUGUAUGUUCACACUAUCCAAAUUGGAAUGAAAUUAGUGCACCAUACAGAUUAUUUAAAGUUUUGACCUGUUCUCCCUACACAUUUAGUACUUGAACUAUGAAGCAGUCACUAAGGAUUGAUAACAUGUUUUCUAUGUGUAAAGAUGCUUUUGGGUUGUAACUGUCAGUAUAUUACAUCAUUGGUUGUAACAGAUAGACUAGGAGUUACGGUCUGUCACUAGACGGAAGGUAACAGUUGCCCACCCCUGAAAACUGUCCAAUGGCUACACAACAUCAGUGUUUUUGAAAAACAUACUUUAAAUUAUAAUUACAACUACAGUAGAGUCUCACUUAUCCAACACUCGCUUAUCCAACAUUCUGGAUUAUCCAACGCAUUUUUGUAGUCAAUGUUUUCAAUACAUUGUGAUAUUUUGGUGCUAAAUUCGUAAAUACAGUAAUUACUACAUAGCAUUACUGCGUUUUGAACUACUUUUUAUGUCAAAUUUGUUGUUAAACAUGAUGUUGUGGUGCUUAAUUUGUAAAAUCAUAACCUAAUUUGAUGUGUAAUAGGCUUUUCCUUAAUCCCUCCUUAUUAUCCAACAUAUUCACUUAUCCAAUGUUCUGCCGGCCCGUUUAUGUUGAAUAAGUGAGACUCUACUGUAUAUCUCUUUCUCAUACCUCAAAGCUUUACUGCUAUGGCAUGAAAUAUUCAGAAUAGCCUGUGACAUUGCUCUGAAAGUUAUCUUUCUGGACAUAACCAUGAAUCAGAAGGAGGCAAAACCAAAAUAAUUAUUCAAUGCAGGGUUCCAUCAAGUUUCUGAGGAUAAGUAAUUUUGCUGCAUUUGUACAAUGUAUAUCUAGGGAUUUAUAUUCCGCCCUUCUCACCCCGAAGGGGACUCAGGUCGGAUUACAGUAUGGCAAACAUUCAAUGCCAUCAGACAAACAACAUACAGUAUAGACACACACAGAAGCAAUUUUAACAUUUUCCAGCUUCAUGAGGAUAUGCUCGAUUCCAGCCACAGGGGGAGCUGUUGCUUCAUCAUCCAUGAGUGAUACCGGGUGCUGUACUUCCUCAUUCCUUUCCACGUGUUGCUGGCAGUUUUAUGGUGUUGUAAAUUAGUUAAAUUAGCCUCCCACGUAAAGCAUACCUAAAUUUCCUACUUGACAGAUGCAACUGUCUUUUGGGCUACUUAGGUAAACAGCAAGCCGGGCUAUUUAUUGGUCGGGGGCUUAACCCGACCCAGGCUUCGAACUCAUGACCUCUCAGUCAGUAGAGAUUUAUUGCAGCUGGUUACUAGCCAGCUGCGCCACAGCCUGGCCUGGGAUGAAAUAAUUAAUAAUUAAUCAAUCAUUAAUCAUCAGAUCUAAGCUGUACAAAGGGAUGACUUGUGCCAUCAGUCUACAGAAGCAUCCUAAUUUAUUUUAUGGAGUAAAUCCAACUCUAGAGGCUACAGAAAAGGACAUACUAAGAGAUUGCCUAAGAAGCCAUCUGUAUUAAUGAUAAAGGAAGCAUAAAAUAAAAAUCUUGAGAAGAAUUCAUAUAAGAAGCCUAAUGAAGAUUUUUUUUCCAGCACCCCUACUGGUUUACCAUCUCAAUCUAUCUAUUUCAACCAAUAUACUUAUAAAACCACCAGUUUAACAAAAUGGAUUAUGCAAACUGGGUCUAAACCAAGAAUGCUCAGUGACAGAUAUAAAUAUUACUUGCCUGUUCUCACAUAUGUAGGACAUAUUUUAUAACCUUUUAAACAGUUGUUGACUAGCAACAAGUGAUGUAAUGACUGAAAGGCUAUGUAGGAAAGCCACUUGUUGGAUCUCAUCUUAAAAGAUCUAUAUUUGGCUCGUUCAUCAGUUACCAUUGAUUGAGAUCUUGAACAUGUUAUUGGGUGAUCUACCUGCAUUAGCCUCCUCACACCAUGCACAAUUUCAGCCCAGAUAUUAGAGCAUUAGAGUACAACUGAUAUAGCACUCUCUUUCUAAUAUAUACAAACUUAUCUCCCCAACUCCUUCCACUAACCUUUUCUUUCUAAAUGAUCCAGCCCACUCCCUGGUUAUAGGUUGUGCUUUUCCUUAUUGAUCCUGCUAAAUGAAAUAUCUUUGAUUUCAAUGCUGCAAUACCAUUCUCUUGGUUUUCUUGCAAACAUAUGUUAAUACUUAUUAUGAAAGGAAAAGCCAUAUGACUUGUGACAGAAUCCUAAGCUGUUUCUGAUAUUUUAAAUUUAAUUACUCAUUGUCAAUGAAAGCUGUAUGUUUGUUGUUAUUGUUGAUGUAUUUUCAAGUCAUUUCUGACCUAUUUCUCAAGGAAAAACUAGAGCAGGAUUUGUUUAUAAGAGAUUUGUCAUUGCCUUCCUCUGAGACUGAGAAAAUGUGAUUUGUCUAAAGUCAAUCAGUGGGUUUCAUGGCUGAGUGAUGGUUCAAACUCUGAUCUCCAAUGUCAUAGUCCAAAAGAAAACUACAGUACUUGCAAAUUAUAUUUCCAGCUUCUAUGUCUUUAAAUAUUAUUUCUGAACGGAGGCAA